rnacentral:rRNA from 1 species
UACGAAGGGGGCUAGCGUUGCUCGGAAUGACUGGGCGUAAAGGGCGCGUAGGCGGAUGGCACAGUCAGAUGUGAAAUUCCCGGGCUUAACCUGGGGGCUGCAUUUGAUACGUGUGAUCUAGAGUGAGGAAGAGGGUCGUGGAAUUCCCAGUGUAGAGGUGAAAUUCGUAGAUAUUGGGAAGAACACCGGUGGCGAAGGCGGCGACCUGGUCCUUGACUGACGCUGAGGCGCGAAAGCGUGAGGAGCAAACAGG